rnacentral:tRNA from 1 species
GUGGCUGACUGGUUACGGUGUUUGCUUUGUAAGCGAAUGGUUCUGGGUUCGAAUCCCAUC